UACGGAGGUGGCGAGCGUUACUCGGAUUUAUUGGGUGUAAAGGGCAAGUAGGCGGCUAUGUAAGUUGAAGGUGAAAUCCUCAGGCUCAACCUGAGAACUGCCUUCAAAACUACAUUGCUUGAGACCAGAAGAGGAAAGCGGAAUUCCCGGUGUAAGGGUGAAAUCUGUAGAUAUCGGGAGGAACACCAGUGGCGAAAGCGGCUUUCUAGUCUGGUUCUGACGCUAAUCUGCGAAAGCUAGGGGAGCAAACAGG
rnacentral:rRNA from 1 species